UAUAAGUAGACUUUUUGCUCUGGAAUGAUUUUAUAUUCAAAGGAGAGCUGUAAAGACAGUAGAGUUCCUGCACAUUGCUGACCCUCGUGGCUCCCAUGCACCAACUUACUGAAGCGUGGUGACACUGCCACACGCAGAAAUUAACAUGGGCACAUUGCUUUAUUCAGGAGUCACCAGUUUCCUGCUUUGCUCUUUUUUCUGUUCCAGGACCCCAGGCAGGAUCCCCCGGCACUGUGUCCUCUGGCCUCCCUGUCUCUGGUCUGACCGUUCUCAUGAUGGGCCAUGCUGAGAACUACUAGUGAGUACUUGGCACAUAUCCCCUGGCCUGGGUUUGUCUGAUGCUUGGUUGGACCAGGGCAUGAAGGGCGGAGCACAGUGCCUCUUCAUGGUGUUGGGCCAACAGCCUGUGACAGCUAACCCUGCCUCAACCAGGGGACAAGGCUACCUUUGUGUGGCAUAUAGGAGAGCAUAUUCAUUUUAUAGAAUGGUGGGGUUUGCUUUUGUGUUUGAAUGUUGUCACACGUUGGAUUGUCACCAGCCCAUGAAAUAACUAGAAGUUACGAUUCCA
rnacentral:lncRNA from 1 species